GCUAACGUCCGUCGUGAAGAGGGAAACAACCCAGACCGCCAGCUAAGGUCCCAAAGUCAUGGUUAAGUGGGAAACGAUGUGGGAAGGCCCAGACAGCCAGGAUGUUGGCUUAGAAGCAGCCAUCAUUUAAAGAAAGCGUAAUAGCUCACUGGUCGAGUCGGCCUGCGCGGAAGAUGUAACGGGGCUAAACCAUGCACCGAAGCUGCGGCAGCGACACUCUGUGUUGUUGGGUAGGGGAGCGUUCUGUAAGCCUGUGAAGGUGUGCUGUGAGGCAUGCUGGAGGUAUCAGAAGUGCGAAUGCUGACAUAAGUAACGAUAAAGCGGGUGAAAAGCCCGCUCGCCGGAAGACCAAGGGUUCCUGUCCAACGUUAAUCGGGGCAGGGUGAGUCGACCCCUAAGGCGAGGCCGAAAGGCGUAGUCGAUGGGAAACAGGUUAAUAUUCCUGUACUUGGUGUUACUGCGAAGGGGGGACGGAGAAGGCUAUGUCGGCCGGGCGACGGUUGUCCCGGUUUAAGCGUGUAGGCUGACUUUCCAGGCAAAUCCGGAAAGUUAAGGCUGAGGCGUGAUGACGAGGCACCACGGUGCUGAAGUGACAAAUGCCCUGCUUCCAGGAAAAGCCUCUAAGCAUCAGGUAACAUCAAAUCGUACCCCAAACCGACACAGGUGGUCAGGUAGAGAAUACCAAGGCGCUUGAGAGAACUCGGGUGAAGGAACUAGGCAAAAUGGUGCCGUAACUUCGGGAGAAGGCACGCUGACAUGUAGGUGAAGCCCCUGCGGGUGGAGCUGAAGUCAGUCGAAGAUACCAGCUGGCUGCAACUGUUUAUUAAAAACACAGCACUGUGCAAACACGAAAGUGGACGUAUACGGUGUGACGCCUGCCCGGUGCCGGAAGGUUAAUUGAUGGGGUUAUCGCAAGAGAAGCUCCUGAUCGAAGCCCCGGUAAACGGCGGCCGUAACUAUAACGGUCCUAAGGUAGCGAAAUUCCUUGUCGGGUAAGUUCCGACCUGCACGAAUGGCGUAAUGAUGGCCAGGCUGUCUCCACCCGAGACUCAGUGAAAUUGAACUCGCUGUGAAGAUGCAGUGUACCCGCGGCAAGACGGAAAGACCCCGUGAACCUUUACUACAGCUUGACACUGAACAUUGAGCCUUGAUGUGUAGGAUAGGUGGGAGGCUUUGAAGCGUGGACGCCAGUCUGCGUGGAGCCGACCUUGAAAUACCACCCUUUAAUGUUUGAUGUUCUAACCUGGCGCCGUGAUCCGGCGUGGGGACAGUGUCUGGUGGGUAGUUUGACUGGGGCGGUCUCCUCCCAAAGUGUAACGGAGGAGCACGAAGGUCAGCUAAUCCUGGUCGGACAUCAGGAGGUUAGUGCAAUGGCAUAAGCUGGCUUGACUGCGAGAGUGACGGCUCGAGCAGGUGCGAAAGCAGGUCAUAGUGAUCCGGUGGUUCUGUAUGGAAGGGCCAUCGCUCAACGGAUAAAAGGUACUCCGGGGAUAACAGGCUGAUACCGCCCAAGAGUUCAUAUCGACGGCGGUGUUUGGCACCUCGAUGUCGGCUCAUCACAUCCUGGGGCUGAAGUAGGUCCCAAGGGUAUGGCUGUUCGCCAUUUAAAGUGGUACGCGAGCUGGGUUUAGAACGUCGUGAGACAGUUCGGUCCCUAUCUGCCGUGGGCGCUGGAGAAUUGAGGGGGGCUGCUCCCAGUACGAGAGGACCGGAGUGGACGCAUCACUGGUGUUCGGGUUGUCAUGCCAAUGGCACUGCCCGGUAGCUAAAUGCGGAAGAGAUAAGUGCUGAAAGCAUCUAAGCACGAAACUUGCCCCGAGAUGAGUUCUCCCUGAGACUAUAAGUCUCCUGAAGGAACGUUGAAGACGACGACGUUGAUAGGCCGGGUGUGUAAGCGCAGCGAUGCGUUGAGCUAACCGGUACUAAUGAACCGUGAGGCUUAACCUUACAACGCCAAAGAAGU
rnacentral:rRNA from 1 species